GACAAGGGACAGGGAGGACAUGGUACGGACUCUGCCAGUUUUUAAUUUAACAAGUGACCGGUAAUACCUUGUGACUGUGAAGCAAGUUGUGUCUUUACAUCUUACAAGGGAAGGAACUGGACUGCAAAAAAUGUAGAGCUUCACUGAAGUAAAGGAAAUAUUUCUUUAAUCCUAGCAGUUGGAGAUGAAACCUUGGAGACCUAGUUUAAGCAUAAACAUGCUUUGUGGCUUCACCACCUGACUCUUCAGGCAUCCUUCAGGAGGAGCAGUACCCAGAGCUGAAUUCUCUUUUUGUAAUAGUCACGUAGGUCAGGAUUGAAACCCAUCAGGCUUUACCCAGAUACAACAGUGGAUAAUCAGAUGUGAAGACAAAUGUAG